UUCCAUGUUGAUCGGGGCUGCUUCGCUCGC
rnacentral:sRNA from 1 species